rnacentral:rRNA from 1 species
CUCCGAAUGCCAUGUACUUAUACUCGGGAGUCAGACUGCGAGUGAUAAGAUCCGUAGUCGAAAGGGAAACAGCCCAGACCACCAGUUAAGGUCCCCAAAUAUAUGUUAAGUGGAAAAGGAUGUGGGGUUGCUUAGACAACCAGGAUGUUGGCUUAGAAGCAGCCACCAUUGAAAGAGUGCGUAAUAGCUCACUGGUCGAGUGACCCCGCGCCGAAAAUGUACCGGGGCUAAACAUAUUACCGAAACUGUGGAUGAACCUCUUCGGAGGUUCGUGGUAGGAGAGCGUUCUAAGGGCGGUGAAGUCAGACCGGAAGGACUGGUGGAGCGCUUAGAAGUGAGAAUGCCGGUAUGAGUAGCGAAAGAAGGGUGAGAAUCCCUUCCACCGAAUAUCUAAGGUUUCCUGAGGAAGGCUCGUCCGCUCAGGGUUAGUCGGGACCUAAGCCGAGGCCGAUAGGCGUAGGCGAUGGACAACAGGUAGAGAUUCCUGUACCAGUGCUAAUUGUUUAACCGAUGGGGUGACACAGAAGGAUAGGGAAUCGCACGAAUGGAAAUGUGCGUCCAAGCAGUGAGUGUGAGAAGUAGGCAAAUCCGCUUCUUGCGAAGCAUGAGCUGUGAUGGGGAAGGAAAUUAAGUACGGAAGUUCCUGAUUUCACGCUGUCAAGAAAAGCCUCUAGGAAGAGUAGUACUGCCCGUACCGCAAACCGACACAGGUAGAUGAGGAGAGAAUCCUAAGGUGAGCGAGAGAACUCUCGUUAAGGAACUCGGCAAAAUGACCCCGUAACUUCGGGAGAAGGGGUGCUCUAUUAGGGUGCAAGCCCGAGAGAGCCGCAGUGAAUAGGCCCAGGCGACUGUUUAGCAAAAACACAGGUCUCUGCAAAACCGUAAGGUGACGUAUAGGGGCUGACGCCUGCCCGGUGCUGGAAGGUUAAGAGGAGUGCUUAGCUUCGGCGAAGGUACGAAUUGAAGCCCCAGUAAACGGCGGCCGUAACUAUAACGGUCCUAAGGUAGCGAAAUUCCUUGUCGGGUAAGUUCCGACCCGCACGAAAGGCGCAACGAUCUGGGCACUGUCUCAACGAGAGACUCGGUGAAAUUAUAGUACCUGUGAAGAUGCAGGUUACCCGCGACAGGACGGAAAGACCCCGUGGAGCUUUACUGCAACCUGAUAUGGAAUGUUUGUACCGCUUGUACAGGAUAGGUAGGAGCCGAAGAGACGUGUGCGCUAGCAUACGAGGAGGCAAUGGUGGGAUACUACCCUGGCUGUAUGACCAUUCUAACCCGCCACGCUAAGCGCGUGGGGAGACAGUGUCAGGUGGGCAGUUUGACUGGGGCGGUCGCCUCCUAAAGAGUAACGGAGGCGCCCAAAGGUUCCCUCAGAAUGGAUGGAAAUCAUUCGCAGAGUGUAAAGGCACAAGGGAGCUUGACUGCGAGACUGACAAGUCGAGCAGGGACGAAAGUCGGGCUUAGUGAUCCGGUGGUUCCGCAUGGAAGGGCCAUCGCUCAACGGAUAAAAGCUACCCCGGGGAUAACAGGCUUAUCUCCCCCAAGAGUCCACAUCGACGGGGAGGUUUGGCACCUCGAUGUCGGCUCGUCGCAUCCUGGGGCUGUAGUCGGUCCCAAGGGUUGGGCUGUUCGCCCAUUAAAGCGGCACGCGAGCUGGGUUCAGAACGUCGUGAGACAGUUCGGUCCCUAUCCGUCGCGGGCGCAGGAAAUUUGAGAGGAGCUGUCCUUAGUACGAGAGGACCGGGAUGGACACACCGCUGGUGUACCAGUUGUUCCGCCAGGAGCAUCGCUGGGUAGCUAUGUGUGGCAGGGAUAAACGCUGAAAGCAUCUAAGCGUGAAGCCCCCCUCAAGAUGAGAUUUCCCAUUUCUUCGGAAAGUAAGAUCCCUGAAAGAUGAUCAGGUAGAUAGGUUUGGAGUGGAAGUGUAGCGAUACAUGGAGCGGACAAAUACUAAUCGAUCGAG